GAUGAACGCUGGCGGCGUGCCUAAUACAUGCAAGUCGAGCGAACAGACGAGGAGCUUGCUCCUCUGACGUUAGCGGCGGACGGGUGAGUAACACGUGGAUAACCUACCUAUAAGACUGGGAUAACUUCGGGAAACCGGAGCUAAUACCGGAUAAUAUAUUGAACCGCAUGGUUCAAUAGUGAAAGACGGUUUUGCUGUCACUUAUAGAUGGAUCCGCGCCGCAUUAGCUAGUUGGUAAGGUAACGGCUUACCAAGGCGACGAUGCGUAGCCGACCUGAGAGGGUGGUCGGCCACACUGGAACUGAGACACGGUCCAGACUCCUACGGGAGGCAGCAGUAGGGAAUCUUCCGCAGUGGGCGAAAGCCUGACGGAGCAACGCCGCGUGAGUGAUGAAGGUCUUCGGAUCGUAAAACUCCGUUAUUAGGGAAGAACAAAUGUGUAAGUAACUAUGCACGUCUUGACGGUACCUAAUCAGAAAGCCACGGCUAACUACGUG
rnacentral:rRNA from 1 species